rfam:Triticum aestivum genome assembly, contig: Triticum_aestivum_CS42_TGACv1_scaffold_579139_7BL
AAAAUACUCUCUCCAUUUCAAAAUUCUUGUCUUAAAUUUAUCUAAAUAUGAAUAUAUCAAGUCACAUUUUAGUAUUAGAUACAUCCGUAUUUAGAUAAAUGUAAGACAAGAAUUUUGGGAUAGAGGGAGUAUGUC